AGGAGGAUGGUGUAAUUGGUUAGCACACGGGGCUUUGAUCUCCGGAGUUAGGGUUCGAGUCCUUAUCUUCCUG
rnacentral:tRNA from 1 species